rnacentral:rRNA from 1 species
UACGAAGGGGGCUAGCGUUGCUCGGAAUUACUGGGCGUAAAGCGCACGUAGGCGGCUCUUUAAGUCGGGGGUGAAAUCCUGGAGCUCAACUCCAGAAUUGCCUUCGAUACUGAAGAGCUCGAGUCCGGGAGAGGUGAGUGGAACUGCGAGUGUAGAGGUGAAAUUCGUAGAUAUUCGCAAGAACACCAGUGGCGAAGGCAGGUCUCUGGGCCGAAACUGACGCUGAGGAGCGAAAGCAUGGGGAGCGAACAGG